AGGGGUAUAGCUCAAAUGGUAGAGUACAUGCUUAGCACGCACGAGGUCCUGGGUUCAAUCCCCAGUACCUCCA
rfam:Camelus ferus unplaced genomic scaffold scaffold1026, whole genome shotgun sequence.